rnacentral:rRNA from 1 species
GGCGUAAGGGCUCGCAGGCGGUUUCUUAAGUCUGAUGUGAAAGCCCCCGGCUCAACCGGGGAGGGUCAUUGGAAACUGGGAAACUUGAGUGCAGAAGAGGAGAGUGGAAUUCCACGUGUAGCGGUGAAAUGCGUAGAGAUGUGGAGGAACACCAGUGGCGAAGGCGACUCUCUGGUCUGUAACUGACGCUGAGGAGCGAAAGCGUGGGGAGCGAACAGGAUUAGAUACCCUGGUAGUCCACGCCGUAAACGAUGAGUGCUAAGUGUUAGGGGGUUUCCGCCCCUUAGUGCUGCAGCUAACGCAUUAAGCACUCCGCCUGGGGAGUACGGUCGCAAGACUGAAACUCAAAGGAAUUGACGGGGGCCCGCACAAGCGGUGGAGCAUGUGGUUUAAUUCGAAGCAACGCGAAGAACCUUACCAGGUCUUGACAUCCUCUGACAACCCUAGAGAUAGGGCUUUCCCUUCGGGGACAGAGUGACAGGUGGUGCAUGGUUGUCGUCAGCUCGUGUCGUGAGAUGUUGGGUUAAGUCCCGCAACGAGCGCAACCCUUGAUCUUAGUUGCCAGCAUUCAGUUGGGCACUCUAAGGUGACUGCCGGUGACAAACCGGAGGAAGGUGGGGAUGACGUCCAAUCAUCAUGCCCCUUAUGACCUGGGCUACACACGUGCUACAAUGG